GGGGAAUAUUGGACAAUGGGCGCAAGCCUGAUCCAGCCAUGCCGCGUGUGUGAAGAAGGCCUUCGGGUUGUAAAGCACUUUUGUCCGGAAAGAAAAGCAUUCGGUUAAUAACCGGGUGUCCUGACGGUACCGGAAGAAUAAGCACCGGCUAACUUCGUGCCAGCAGCCGCGGUAAUACGAAGGGUGCAAGCGUUACUCGGAAUUACUGGGCGUAAAGCGUGCGUAGGUGGUUCGUUAAGUCUGAUGUGAAAGCCCUGGGCUCAACCUGGGAAUGGCAUUGGAUACUGGCGACCUAGAGUGCGGUAGAGGGGUGUGGAAUUCCCGGUGUAGCAGUGAAAUGCGUAGAUAUCGGAAGGAACAUCAGUGGCGAAAGCGACUUCCUGGACCAAUACUGACGCUCAUGUGCGAAAGCGUGGGGAGCAAA
rnacentral:rRNA from 1 species